UUUUUUAUAUUGAAUUAAAUGUAGUAUAAGGUAGACGGUGGCGUUAUUUUCUUACAUAAGGGGAUGACGCCUGUGAAAAUUUUUGUAGGAGCCAUCCCUAGAAAGGAUGGCUCCAUGUCAGUUUUUGAAGCUUUGAUGUUGGCAAUAGCAUUUGCUACUCUAGUUUUAAAAAUUACUGAAAACAAAAA
rnacentral:sRNA from 1 species